rnacentral:misc_RNA from 1 species
ACACCUCAACUCUUUAUGGUUAUCCCAUGAUGAGCUUGGACUUUGGGGGUUUUGCUGGCCUACAGUCAGCUCCUCUAAAAUAAAUCAGCUUACCAGUGUUUGGUGGGUAUCAUGGGUGUGAUAACUAUCUACGCUCGUGGUUUUCCACCAGGUAACCUUCAGCAGUGGAGGUUCGCUGGAGCUCAUAGAUGUCUCUCCUCAGUGAGGACAGCCCUUUGAAU